rnacentral:tRNA from 1 species
CAAAUUAUAGCUUAAGAAAAGUUUUUUAUUUACAUUAAAAAGUUUGUUGUUCAUACAAUGUAAUUUGA